rnacentral:lncRNA from 1 species
UUUUUUCACUAGGUAGUCUUUCAAUCACAUCUAAUUUUCUAUAUUCACAAAAAAUUUCUAAAACUGAAUUUAAAUACAAUAAUUAUGAAUUGAUAACAUAUACCAUCAAAUGCAAUAUUAAUCUCGUGUACCUAAAGAAAAUAAUAGGUAUUUAUACUAUAACUUUUGUAUAAUAUACAUUUAUUCAAUGUAACAUUUUCUCAAAAUUUUGGACAAUUACUAUAAAAAAGUAAUAAUCGUAAUCAAUUAAUAUUUACAUUGUUAUUUUAGAUCAUUUUUCAUUUUUAUUAAAAUCAAUUAUACUAGUAGUUGUUUCUUUAAAGUUGUUAAGAUUAGAAUUUUAUCUAUAAUCAUGUUAUAUUUUGUAACGUCAUGAUCAAAUUUAUUGGCAGUGUCUUGUUUAUACAUUAUUCAUUAUACCUUAUUAAGACAUUGAUGAUGAAACUGAUUUUAAUUAAUUAAGCAUAAGCUAUAAUUCUUAUUGCUACAAACAACAAAAAAUAGGAAGAAAAAAAAACAUCAAAAAUAGAAAAGGAAACAAGAUAAGCGUGAUCAUAUAUAACUAAAAACACAGGAUCAGAAUCUCCCAAAUUUUAGAUGAAUGCAUGAAAGAGUGAUACACGACGAGACUUUUCGCCUCUUGGGACAGGUUAUGUUAAAUUUCAAUUUGUAUGAGCAGGGUUUUGGGGCUCGACUAUAUAUACACUAAAGAGGUAGGAUCAUAUCAGGUUAAGAUUUUAAGAUCCUAGUCGGGAUUUUAAGACCCUAAUUAAAGAUAAAUCAUAGUAUGAUCGAAGUCGUUUUUCGUUUGUAGGAUUUUAAAAUCAUAACAACCAUUAUUUUUAUCUAUAAUUUUUUUUCAAGAAAAACAAAAAUUUCAAAAAUAAUUAGCUAUAAAGUUACCUUAAAAUUAGGGGUGACAAAUCGUACAAUUGUAUCGUGUCUUUUAGUUAACACGACAUGAUACAAAAACGACUCAAUUAAGACACGAUAAAAACAACAAAUACGAAAAAAAAAUGAAAAGAUAAAAUAAAAUAAACAUUUAAGUUAUUUAAUUCACAACUAAUCUUACAGAAUACGACAAAUACGAUAAACAUUAAGACGACAAAAACAUGGUAAGCCAAAUCUUGAACACGAACACAAAGUCAAUCGUGUCGUAUCGUGUAUUGUCACCGCUGUCUAAAGCAAAAGAAUAAUACGAUUCAAUUGAAAAUAAUUUCGAGAUAAAAGUUAACUUAUGACAUAAAACCUCAAAACUGUAUUGGAAUUAGUUAAACUUUAUAUAUAACCCUAUUUAUAAACUUGUAUUUUUAUAUUUAAGUGACAAAUCCACUUGUUUUGAGCAGGGUCCACAUUUGUAAUUAAAAAUAAUUAUAUACAUAAAAAAAAAGUAUAAUGAAAAAAGAGAUGGAUAAGGGGUAGUUUAGGAAUAAAAGAGAAAGGUUCAAAUGACGAGCGGUUCUACCGGCAUGAUCAAAGGGGGAGUCGAUCUCUUCGCUAGAAAAGAUGGGUUACAGUUAAACCCAACCCCCCAUUUUUCCCGCCAAAGCUACUUUGACCCUUUGACCAACCAAACUUUACAACACUAAACUGCACAAAGUACAAGUCGUUGCAUAGAUUUUAGUCAUAAUAGACAACAAACACUCGAAUUAUACACAAAUCAAAUUAUUUAAAAAAAAUAAAAAGAUAUAGCCCAAGUUUUAUUUUGAUGUUAUUUACAACAUCUAAAAAAUUAAGAAGUUACCUUUAUAUAAAAAUAUAGAUAGAUGGUUGUAAAAAGUCAAAACAUAACCACCAAAAACUUAAAUAUAUAAAAAAAUGAAUUGAAAAAAAAAACAAACAGCAAAGAGAGUUUCGUCACCAUGGGUAAUUGGGUAUGAUAGUCAUUAUACACCGAAUUUGGUAUAAUCAAAUUAAAACACAAUUGGCCUAAUGGUUUUGUAAUCUGGUAUUUUGAGACAUUUUACAUAAUCUCGUUCUUUUAAAGUUUCCGAUAGUUAGAUAUAUCUAAUUAUGAUUUAAAAUGUUGAUUAACGAACUUAUAAACUGUGUCUUCUUUUAAGAAAUUUGAAAAGGUGAACUGCAAACAUAACAGUUAUUUAUAGCCAAAUAUUAUAAUAAUAAUAAGGUAUUUCAAUUAUUUGAGUUAGUUUUUAAACUUGGUAAAAUACGUGUUCUAUUUUGCACUUCUUACAAAUACAUUUACCAUGUUGGUCCAAACUACCAUGUACUUAUCAGAUUCAGAUGCAAUAGAUUUGGGCGGAAACUCAUUUGAUAAAAGGCGAACAAGUUAACCGGCUAUUCGAUGCGAUUGUUCAGGCCCAAAUCCAAUACCUGGGCCUCUUACCUAAAUCUUGUUUCUACUUCGAUUUUUUUAUCCGGAUUUUUGGUCUUGUAUGAUCCAAACCAAAUUUCGAAAUGUUCAUCCAAACCUCAAAAGUGUUCAUUUCUAAAAACCCAAUCAGGCCACAACGUUUGAAUCCAACCCGAAGUAAUAAAUGUGAAAGGUAAAUCAAGUACUCCACAACCGAUUAAAAUAAAAUCAUUUUAAUAAAAAUCUAUCAAAACGCAAAAACAACAAAAAAUCGACUACGUCUUACAAACCAAAUCAAAAUUAUUUUUUGCAUAAUAAGCAAUUUGAUUAAAAAAAAUUGUUUAAAACUACCUGCUAGACUAUAUAACAAAUGUAAAAUAAGAUAUAAGAAUAUACAUAGCAGAAAAUUAGCAUACAAAAUAUACUUAAAAACUUCUGAAAAAAGCACAUAAACCUAUCAAUAAACUAUUUCAAGUAAACCUAUCAAUAAACUAUUUCAAAUAAAGUUUUUAAAAAAAUGCUAACUUAUAAAUAACUUUGGUAUAACAAAUUACAAUAAGUUCAUUUCUAUACUGUUGUGAUGAUGUGGAGAGCAAAAAUUACGCGGAAUAAUUAGGACAAAACUAUAGCUUGGGAGCUUUAGGGUUUUUAACCAAGCUCUUUUGUACAACGAAAGGUGGUGUUUUCUAACUUCGCCUGAUACAAAAUGGGUUCAGGUCUUAAAGGCCAUUAAUUAAAAUGGGGGCGGUUUGGAUGUAGCGGGAGGGUGAAAUUUUCGAGAACUUGGUAUAAAAUUGGUGGAUCUAUAAACUUGUUGCAUGAUCGUAACAUAUUUCAAAAUUCAUGUAUUUCAAGGUGUAAUGUCUGUUUCGCGAAAAGUCAAAUAUUAUUUUUAAGGAAAGUAAGAAAGUGGGUUUUGGAAAAACGCUAGUUCCGGAUGCGCUUAACGGAUAAACACGGCGUGUGCCAUGUCAUCAAGUCGUGACGCGACCAAAUAAGGGUCGCGACAGGUGGUUGCAAACCCUAUUUUGGGCGUGUUUGGGAUUGCUUCUUAAACUCCUUAUUGACUUUUUUUUUUGGAAAAGCCAUGACCUUUGUUGAAAAAGCCAGAAAUUCCUACAUUUUUUUAAAAAUUGUUUUUUUGACUGAACAAUUAGUGUUUACCAAACACCUUUUUAACUUAUUAGUUUUUUUAAAAGCUAAUAAGUCAAUAAGUCAUUUUAAAAAAAACAAUCUCAAAUACCCCCUAAGCUUCGAAAACCUAACAUCUCUCCUUCCAUUCUUGUGUCUUGGAGGUGUUUUGGUGAUUCUUGGUGAAGAAUCAAGUGGCAUUUAUGCAAAAGAAGCUAGAUCCAAAGUAGAUUCAACUUCCUUACCUCCUUUUGGACCUUUGUAACUCAUCAAGUUCUUUCCAUUAUGUGUUUCGCUUCAUAGAUCGAGCAUUCUAGGUGUAUUUGGUCCUUUUCGUUAUGUUUCUUUGGAGUUUGGAAAACUUCACAUCCCAAAAAUUGAAGAUAUUUCGAGCAUUCUAGGUGUAUUUGGCCCUUUUUGUUAUGUUUCUUUGGAGUUUGGAAAACUUCAUGUCCCAAAAAUUAGAAAAUUAGUUAUAAGAAUAUACAUAGCAGAAAAUUAAGUGAAAAUAGUGCAUGUUUACCUUUCCUUUUAAGCCAUGCAAUCAACAAUUGUCUAUUUUUGGCCUUUUAAGCUAUAUGGUUUUAUGAAAAGCUUAUUUAAGACAUGCAUGUAGAUAAAUUUGGAAACUUUGUCCAUUAAGGACCUUAUUUAGUGAGUUCUGGAAAGUUAUUGCUUUUGUCUUAAGAGAUUAAGUGCUUAAUAAGAAAUUAGAUUUUGCCCCGAAAAGUGUGACAUGCCCAAGGAAGGGUCACGACGCAAAAAAAAUGGUUUUGACACUAUUUUGUCACCUAGUGGUCACGACACGACCACGAGCUAGGUCGUGACGCUUUGACCGUUGGCUUUAACUUUGACUGUUGACUUUUUAACCGGUUUGACUUUGGGUAAAACUUUGAUUGAUUAAGGAUUUUGGUCAAAGGGUUGACUUUCAAUUAGUAUUAGUCACUAGUCUGCACCUAAUGAUGAUUUAGGUGGUUCAUAUAGCUAGUUCUUUCACGGACUUGAGUGCAUUCUUUAUGAGCUCGAGCGGAGCUCUGUACAAUAAAGCUCAAAUCGAGCCGAACCCGAGCUUGAGCCCCUCAUAAGUUAAAUGAUCCCGAGCCGAGUUUGUUCAAGCUCGAGCUCGGCUUCGCUUGUUUACACCCCUAGUCCAUCAUGCUGGACUCUUUGUUAAUAUAUUAUUUCCGUUUUGAUAUUGGACAGGAUUGGGCACCACCUCACCAACAAGAUAUCUCUCUCUCUCUCUAUUGAUUUAUCAUUUUGUAUUUGGGUUUGAAUGCUAACAUACAAUUUUGUAGUAAGUCACCCCUUACAUAAACGUAUAUCAGGAGGGGACGGAAGGGCAUAACAUGAAAUUAACAAGAAAAUUAUCAAAAAGGCUACAAGACAUUUUGGAAAUUAAUCGUUCUAAGAACUACAUAUUUUUGUCAAUAUAUACUAAUGAAACAUAAAUUGUCAUGAAUUGUCUUAAUUUUUGAAGUUCUAGAACCUAAGGUAUUGUUCUAUUUCUCUUAUUUAGUAGUAUAAAUUUUCUUUACUCGAUCUGUUAUACUUUCCAUAAUUUUAGUUCAUUUAAUUUUGUCAAUGAGAGCUUGCCGAUUGGUAUCGGACCAUAGAUCCCUAUACAGUUGCUAUGAUACCAAAUGUUAAGGAUAUGACACCAAAUGAUAAGCUCUCACUAACAAAACCAAAUGAACUAAUAAUAUGCGGGAAAAAAAAAAGACAAAAGAGUAAAAAAAAUCAAAUUAAACAAGAUAAAAAAAACAAGACAAAUCUUAAAAAAUAGUCCAUGUGAUUUUAAAAAAAAAUGAGUCUGAUCUUUACUUUUUUUUUUCUUAAAAGAUAAUCCAUGUAGUUUGAAAUUUUUUAUGGGUUAUCCUUAUCUCAAAGUCCGUCGUUUUUCUCAUCUUAGGUCAAAUAUAUGCGAGGUAUCAGGUGUGAGGUCAAAAUUGGUAUUUGCUUUCAUGAGUUUGCAUUUGUCCAAUUCACAAAAUAACUUCUACUCAAAAAACCAUGCAGUCUUUUUUGGUUUUUUCUUUUUAAUUAACUGUUUUUCUGUAUUUAAGGGGUCAAUUAUACAUUUUAUCAGAUCAAUAUAAUUUCAAAUAAGCCCAAAGCAAGCCCAUUAUGGACCAUGUUCAAGAAAAAAAAGCCAAUCCGUCAAUACCAGGAAUAUAACAUCUAAUUAAUCCUCCUAAUACUCAAAAGUGCUAGCCAAUGUAUUUUCUCAUCCCGAAUAAGUAAGGGAAAAUGUUCAAAAAAACAAUUAAAGUAUUAAAUUAAAUGUUCAAAAAACAUCAUUAAACUAAGACAUAUGUUUAAAAAACACCAAUACAAUAUAAAAAUACAAUGUUUUGUUUAAAAAACACCAUCUUUGGGGUAACUUACAUAUCAUUUAACAUUAUUUUUAUUGUUUAUUGAUAAUUUAUAUUAUUAUUUAUUAUAAAUAUAUCAAUUAUAUAAAUAAUUAAUAAGUAAUAAAAAUAAAUGUUAAAUGAAACCAGUAAUGGUAUAUUAGUGUUUUAAUACGAUCAUGGUCAAAGAAAAAAUAAAUAUAAACAACCGGGAGUAUCCGAGAAAAAAAGUUAAGAGCUAAACAUGUAUAUGUAUGUUACCCCAAACCAUAAUGUUUUUAUAUUUUAGUUUUAGUUUGAUUGUGUUUUUUUAACAAUACUCGGUGUGUUUUAAAUAAAUUUGAAACUUCAAGUAAACCUAAAACUAAAACAAACAGUUAGGAAAAGUUACUAGAAAUAAUUUUAACGAUAUUAAAUUAACUGAAAUAGUUAGAAUGUAUUAUUUACUGAAGGGUAUCUCUCAGACAAAUGCCUCGAUUCGUCUUCAUGAUGAAUGGAAUGGAUAUAUCAGACUCGUCAUCUAUGAAAUCAUCAUCAAGAAAACCCUUUUUUAUUUUAAUAAAAUAAAAAACCUCAGACAUCCAAGGAAGGAGUAAACAGCAUUAGCUCUCAAGCCUGGCGAAGGCGAAAGCUCUUAGGCGGCCACUGCGAAUGUCUCUGAGAAACAAGCCUUUGGAUUAUCAUCACAGGUAUCGACAAUCAAGCCAGUCAAAUUCAACGAGAAACCAUUAACGAUUAAACCGAAUUAAUGAACAGGAAAUAGAGAUCAAAUAAUAAUGGAGUUUAGGAUCAGACUGACGUGCAAAUAAGAUUUCGUUCAGCAGAGCACAAAACUGCGCCUAUGAUAACAAAAUUCGAUAUCGUUUAGCAUCAUCUCCCAAACCCAAUUAAAAUCUAAUCUCUGUUUUUCGGAUUUUUGCAAAAGUAAACCAAAAUCGAAAAAAAAAUUAAUCAAAAAAUCGGUAGCUCAUAGUAACUACGAACUUGAUUACGAACAAAUGGCAACGUACCGUUCGAACGAAAAAAAAAAAAAAAAAAAAAAGAGAGAGAGAGUUAGAUUUGGCAAUGGAACCCUAAUUCACCAUAUUAUAAAAAAAGCGGCGUUCAAUGAGAACAGAUCAAAGAAUGAAGAGCGUGUGUAAAACCCUAACUCUUUGUUGAAUUUAUAGACAUGUCGACG